UUGUGAAUUUGGGCCUGGCAUUUUAUGCCGGAAUCUAGUAUCGGCCAGACGGGUUCAUUUUUAAUUCAUUGUGAGUUUAAAUGUCCUUAAAAUUCAUAUUUAAUAUUCUCAUCAGCUUAACCAAUCUUUAUCUUAUCUCUAGGGUGUCACAGCGUUAAAUGCCCAAGGCUGCUCAUGUUAUAUUCAAAUCAACAUUCAGCAAUAAAAUAUUGUCAUUUUGAUUCCAUUCCAGUAUUCUUAAUGUCAGCCCUAGUCUCCUGUAAGCUUCCACCAAACUUAACUUGUACUUUCAACCAAGAACAAAGUUAUACUUUUAAUAUCCCCAUUGAUUAUGUACAAGUAUACCAAGCAGUAUUAGUUGUACAAUACAAUGGGUUAAAAGACAAUAUUCUUUUAUUAGUCACAUUCUUAUAAGGCCAUAUUCUUGUAUGAUUUCUAUUUCCUGACAUUUAAAGAAAACUUAAAUUAACUAAGUUAGUGUGAUAUUAUAAUGUUUUGUUUCUAAUCGAAUACAGUAUUGUUUUAUUCUGUUUACAGUAACAUAAAAUUGAUGCAAAGCCAAUGCAAUCAUUGUGAUUUAAAAAUAAAUUACUGUGCGAUGUAACAUGCUUUAUGAUCAAUCAUGAUUUAUUUGCAGGUUAUGUGAUUUCAGACCAAACACUUCAACUAAAAGUUUAAAAGAAAGUCAUUCCUUUUCCAAGAAGUUAAAUCCUGUACAAGGUUAUGAGUCAUUUGCAUGGUACAUGGUAUAUUUUUCAUGAAAAAGAUUAAGACUGUAAACAAAUUAUAUAAUAUCAUCAGGCCUCGUAAUACUGUUAAUUCCAUUUUCUAUUGUGUAACUAACUGAAUUCAAAGUAUACUGUUUUAGAUAUCGAUGAAAUACACAACUUUCAUAUGUAUUCAUUCCAUUUGCUACUUACGAGUAUGUAACAACAAAAGCAUCAUUUUGAUGUUAUGAUGUCUUAAACAUUAUUAACCAAUUUUCUAUAUUCUUAAUUUAUUUUUUUUUCAUGAUAAUAUCAAUUCUUUUCAAAACCUUCCAAAUUUCAUUUUGUUUCCUCUCUCUCUUUCCUCGAAGAAGAGUUUGUGUUAAACUUCAAUGAGUUACAUUCCAAGCGAUGCACUCUGGCUUCAGGUUUUUAGUGCAUCCGAUGUUCCUAGUUGCUACUGGCUGCAGCUCUCUUAACAAAUUUGUUUUAUCCCCAGAUGCUGUACAAAUACUUGAAUGAAGUCCAUGAAAUUUAAUAUGGAUGGACAUCUGAUACAGCAUCCCCCCGCCUCUCAACUCAUCCUCCAAAUAGAAUGUGAGGGCCAACUGAUAUAGCUCCUCAGAAUCAAGUCUUCCUAUAAAUGAUUAAUUGUAGAGAUGUUACAAUUAGUAUUUGUAUUUACAUGCUGCUGCUAUGUUUGGCAACCUAUGUCUUUGAGUAGCCCACAUUUUCUUUGAUAUGAAUUCUCGAUCUGUUAAGACUAGGCUCCAUUGAAGUUACAGAUGCAUUUAUAUACUGGGUAGUGUCGGUGUACAGAAUCAUGUCAAAGACCAGGGCUCCGUAACACAAAGAUUAGUGAUCAAUCGCUCAAUGAACUGACCAAUCAAUAUCAAUGUUACACACGCAUUCGGUUUAAAAUGCUGACCAGGGACCAAUCAGUGCGUUUUUUUUAUAUUUGCAAUCCAUCGCAAACCUUUGUGUUACGGAGCCCAGCUUGCGAAACCUCCCCAGUCUUUGACCAUUUUUCACACAUAUUCACCAAAGGAUUAGAACAAACAAUGUCAUCAAUAGUUUGCUAUAGAUAUACAUGGAUUACAUUCUCAGUGAUUGUAGCUAGUAACUUUGUGCAAAUCAAAUGAACUUCAGUAAAUUAAUUCUUAUUUUCUGCUACAAGGAGGUAUUCAUCACAUCAGUUAGUUAUGUAUUUGCAAUCAAUUGUAAGAUUUAUGAUUUGCUUACAAAUGAUAGGAAGUUAAUUGCAAUGCCUUAUUGACCUUUGUUGAAUAGCCCUGAGAAUGAUAUCAUAAUGUAUAUAUUAACAUGAUGAUACUUUCUAACUUAAACUCUAUUUUAUUCUUGUUGUACAUGUAUUAAUUUUGUCAGUUUUAUACUUGUCUUUUAUUUCAUGUUGAUAUCUUUGUUUGAUUGGUAAUGAUUUCAAAGGCCACCACUAAUCUUACUAGUGGUUUAUGAUCCUAGUUAGGAACAAAUUGCAAUUUUUAUUUUUAUGAAAAUAUAAAAAGAGAAAAUUUUCCUACAUGGGUUCAAAAUAACAAUAAGAAUACAGAUAUUGAAAUUUGAAUCUUUAGUGUAGAACUUAGUUCAAAAUGUUUUCAGAUUGUACCUGGUUGACAUCAUUAUGAAUUAGACAUUGAAUUUGCCUUUCAUGAAUAGGAUUGCAGUAGUCAUGAUUUUAAACUUCAGUAUUGGUAUAAAACUCUGGACAGAAAUAUUUUUUAUGUUCCAAUGUUUACAUCAACAUAACAUUCCCAUAUUUGGUAGAAAACCAAUUGUAAGUUGUGUGGUGGCUUUGACUUGUACAUAUUAUAUUUGAAUAUUUGAAUUUGCUUCUACACAUAUUUUUUAUCAUUUAACAUACAACUGUCAAAAUCUCAUUUGCACAAUACUGAAUCAAUGCUAUGACUGUUUUUUUUUUGGGAUUAAAAAAUGAAAAGGAAAUAUUAUAUUAUUAGCUAUUAUAUGGCUAUUAAAAAGUAUAUAGGUAUCCAGAGUAGUAAUCACAGAAAGUUCGGCAAGGUUUCACAAAUCUCCGUAAUAAAGAAUGUAACCCUGUUUCUUUUAUAUGUGUCUUAAACUCAAUGCACACAUCUUAUUGGUAAUAUCUUUGAUCUGACUGGAUGUUUUGUAAAAGGCUACCUUGCGAUAUGUGUCAGCUAUUGUCUGUUUAAAAAAAGAUAAGCAAUAAUACUUUCAAUAACACUAUAUACUCUAUUUGUUCUAAAUUAUGAUUUAUCAAGUGCAGUUAAUAUUACAGAGCAUAUUUUCAUGCGUAGAUUUUUUCUUCAUUGAAUAUGAUUUUCUUUUGCAAUUCAAAAUAGAUUGUAAGCUCUUACUAGAUUGUGCUUCCAUAUCUACUCUGUUCAUGUUGUAUUCUUACUUUAUAUGAUUUACUGAAUGUUGGUUAUAAAGUGCUUGCAAAAUAUACUAAAUAGCACAUUUGGUCAAAGAUUAUUUAUUACCACUAAAAAUGUUCGUCGAAAACAAUUUAUCAAUAUACCAGUAUAUCAUUAAAUUAUGCACAGUGUAUUUACCAAUGGAAAUUAUUUUGCCUUGUUUUUGUAGUAAUAGAUUAUAAAUUUAAAUGACAUAAACCAGUUCUACAACUGAUUGAAACAAGUCACAAACUUGGAGUUGGAAUAGAUUAGAAUCAUGUGCAACUGUUUAUUUGAAGGGGCUAAUAUAUGAAAUCAGUUCAAAUGAUACUAGAUCAAAUGAUGGUUUGGAAACAUAUUCUCUUUAAUAUGAGUGUGAUAAAUGACCCUGCUUGUCUUGCUUAUCAUAAAAUGUUUAGGUUGACGUUGCCCAAGAUACUUCAUUGAAUCUCAGUUAACCUCCAUGCAUAUUUGUAAUGUAUGUUAGAUAAUAUACCCUUCCAAGUUAUCCUUCAUUAUUUUGUUUCCAUCUUUAUUGACUUAAACAUUCCUGAUGGUUUACGUUAUGUGCUAGCACCAGAAUACAUUUUGCUAUUUUAUGUUAAAUUAUGAGUUUAUAACUUCUAUGGUUUUUUUUUCUAAUUAGGUGUUUAUAUAAAUGAAAAAAUAUAUAAACAAAUAUUUUCUUUGGGUAAUCAUUAAUAUUAGACAGUUAUCAGAUUUACUGUUGACUUUUUAAUAUCUUUUGGUGUUGGGCCAAACUAAACUAAACUUUAGAUAAAGCUCACUUGGUGUCGAGCUAUCAAGUACAUGACUACUUAAAUCUUCUUUGUAAACUCGCGUUAGGCCUUUAGAAAGGGAAUCUGAAUUGUGCUUUAGGUCCCAGAAUGAACAUAUCUUCAUGUUGAGUUUCAAGAUGAUGCUUGUUAAUUGUGGGCUCCUGAAUACUGCUCCUUUACAGAUUAGAAAGAGAGGUCACCAGAACCCAUGCUUACAAAGGGUCGUGAUCAGUUACAGAAAUCUAACAAUGUCAUAAUUCUUUAUGAUAAAAAGAAUUGUACUUAACAUCCCUUUAGAAAGAAAGAGAAGCACAUUGAUUUGUCAGGACAAUGAUGUAUGCGUAUUUGGCAUUACUGGCCUGCCAUAGCUCUUUAGAAGCCAGGGCCCAAAUAUCUACAGUAAUUAGUCGAUCAACCAUGAAAUGCAGGUGACAAGGGAACAGGACAAGAAGUAUAGAGAAACUUUCUUUUAUGUGAUGAUAUCUAUACUUUUUUUCAUUUAAUCAUUUUAAACUCAUUUUACUUCAAAUCUAAAGCCUGCUGUGCACAAAUACAACAUAUUGUUGAAGUUGUGGAGAUUAAUUGCCAAAUAUUUUUGUGUAAAAUGUACUGUAAUGAAAAUGUACUUGGGAGUACUGUUAUGUUACACAUUAAGUACUGAUUACAGUUAUGACUUGAUGUAUAUUCUUGAGUGCCUUAUAUUUAAAACUAAUUGAAAAAUUGUAUACAUUGAACAGGGUGCCAUUUAUUAAUCUUUUAUUUACUUUUUUUCUUUUUGUGGCCCAAUGAUUAUUUGCUUUGUAUGUAGAUGUAUGAUAUUCAAAAUAAAUUAUGUUGCAUUAUAUUUUAUGCCUUGUGUGAUCUAUGACCUGUAACAACAAAGAUACAUUCAAGUUUAUAAUUAAUUGUAACAUGAGCUUAUAGAAAAUCAUGUAGGGUUACAAUUAAAAUUGCAGAUAUUGAUUUUAUCCGUCUAUGAAACAGACCCCGAGUUUGGGCCAAUUUUGGUAGAGACAUGUAUUAGUUGCUAGAAUUUAUUUAAUGAGAUGUAGUCAUUGUUUAUGCGGUACUUGUGUAGCAUAUGAAUAUUAAUUAAUACUUUGAUUCUGAUUCAAAUUUCAAAAGUACUUCCCCUUAAUCAACCUCUAGAUCAGAUUUUCAUGUUCUUUAUUUCUUUGUGAGAUAUCAACCAUACUAUUGGCAAUACUUCAUAUAAAUGUGACUUCAAAAUGUACUGUGAAAGUUAUAGUAUGAUAUCAAGAAAAAUAUAACUUUUGUGAUGUAGAAAAGAAAUUUGCAUUUAUAAAUACUCUAUAUCUUCUAUAGCCAAAUAUUGUGAAAUAAAAAUAUGAUUAUAUUCAUGA